GAUGAACGCUGGCGGCGUGCUUAACACAUGCAAGUCGAACGGGAUCCCAGGAGCUUGCUCCUGGGUGAGAGUGGCGAACGGGUGAGUAAUGCGUGACCGACCUGCCCCAUACACCGGAAUAGCUCCUGGAAACGGGUGGUAAUGCCGGAUGCUCCAGUUGGAUGCAUGUCCUUCUGGGAAAGAUUCAUCGGUAUGGGAUGGGGUCGCGUCCUAUCAGCUUGAUGGCGGGGUAACGGCCCACCAUGGCUUCGACGGGUAGCCGGCCUGAGAGGGCGACCGGCCACAUUGGGACUGAGAUACGGCCCAGACUCCUACGGGAGGCAGCAGUGGGGAAUAUUGCACAAUGGGCGCAAGCCUGAUGCAGCGACGCCGCGUGCGGGAUGACGGCCUUCGGGUUGUAAACCGCUUUUGACUGGGAGCAAGCCCUUCGGGGUGAGU
rnacentral:rRNA from 1 species